rnacentral:rRNA from 1 species
UACGUAGGGUGCGAGCGUUGUCCGGAAUUACUGGGCGUAAAGAGCUCGUAGGUGGUUUGUCGCGUUGUCCGUGAAAACUCACAGCUUAACUGUGGGCGUGCGGGUGAUACGGGCAGACUGGAGUACUGCAGGGGAGACUGGAAUUCCUGGUGUAGCGGUGGAAAUGCGCAGAUAUCAGGAGGAACACCGGUGGCGAAGGCGG